UGGCCCAGAUCGUUUACCGUGAAAAAAUUAGAGUGUUCAAAGCAGGCAGAUCCAAUUUUCUGCCACCGAAUACAUUAGCAUGGGAUAAUGGAAUAGGACCCUGUCCUCCUAUUUUCAGUUGGUUUUGGCAGCGCGAGGACUAGGGUAAUGAUUAAUAGGGAUAGUUGGGGGCAUUAAUAUUUAAUUGUCAGAGGUGAAAUUCUUGGAUUUAUGAAAGAUUAACUUCUGCGAAAGCAUCUGCCAAGGAUGUUUUCAUUAAUCAAGAACGAAAGUUAGGGGAUCGAAGACGAUCAGAUACCGUCGUAGUCUUAACCAUAAACGAUGCCGACCAGCGAUUAGGAGACGUUGAAUACAAAACACCACCAUCGGUGCGGUCGUCCUUGGCGUCGGUCUUUCGGGGCCGGCGCGAGGGUGGCUUAGCCC
rnacentral:rRNA from 1 species